GCCGUAGCAACGGCGGGCGGGUCCCGCGGGGCGCGCUGAGCUAGGGUGAGCAUCCUGUGGGGCUAGACGAUGGCGGCUGGGAGCGUGCGGCCUGUGCGGGGCCUCCCGGGUUGAGUGGACAUGUGUUCUCGAAAUCAUUACUCUGUGCUUGGGACUGGGGUCCAGGCCUCCUCCCCAUUUUAUGGAUGGAGAAAUUGAGGCUCAGAAGGGAGUCAGGACCAGGACGCAGGACAGAUGAUGCCAGAUGAACAGCCCUUCCCAUUCCUCUGCUGGAAGAACAAGUGUCCACUCCCUAUUUCUUGUUUUUCUCCUGAAAAUCCAAAUGUUUAUAGAAGUCGUAAAGAGAAAUAAACGACCAGGUUUUUGCCCCAGGAAA